rfam:Ictidomys tridecemlineatus contig089483, whole genome shotgun sequence.
GGGGUCAUGGCUCAGUGGUAGAGCAUUUGCCUAGCAAGCAUAAGGAACUGGGUUCAAUUCCCAGCACCA